ncrna:Paenibacillus terrigena DSM 21567 L31-Firmicutes ribosomal protein leader
CUCUGGGGUCGCAAAGAGCCCAGGGCGGAAAGAG